UACAGGGGGUGCAAACGUUGCUCGGAAUCAUUGGGCGUAAAGCGCACGUAGGCGGUCUGUUAUGUCGGAUGUGAAAGCCCUCGGCUCAACUGAGGAAGUGCAUCCGAAACUGGCAGGCUAGAGUACUAAAGAGGGUCGCGGAAUUCCCGGUGUAGAGGUGAAAUUCGUAGAUAUCGGGAGGAACACCGGUGGCGAAGGCGGCAUCCUGGACCGGCAUUGACGCUGAGGCGCGAAAGCUAGGGUAGCAAACGGG
rnacentral:rRNA from 1 species